GGUACUAUAGAUCCAUGCACUUCAUUGGGACCAACGUUUACGAAAACGUCGCGUCUCGUCACGUUACAGUAAUGUAAAAUGCAUGGUGACGUGACGACAGCCAACACUAUGUCAUGUAAACGUUGUUCCCAAUCUAGUGCAUGAAUCUAUAGGCCUAGGUCUAUAUUAUAUAUCACCACUUAGGAAAUAGACGUAUUCGAAGAAGACGGAAUCGGUGCCAAAACAAAUCGAAUGCGCACACUCGGAAUACGUCAGAAGGCCUAGUAAGCCGACUUCGGACAGUGCCUAGAGAGACACGGCGAUCCUUUGUUCAAGGGUCAGUGCAAACUUCUUCGAAUUCGUCUUAUCAACGUAAUGACGUAACUGGUGAAAUAACGAGGCGUAGGCCUAGUGGUGAAACAAUAUUGCGCAAUGUUAUUUUGGUAGAAGGUUGUGGCAGUGAAGGGACUGUGUGCAUGCACUUGAGGGAGUGUGUUCAUCCAGAUAGGCCUGUUUGAAGAAGAGGAAUCGGCUCCAAAACAAUUUAAACAAUGAGUGCGCACACCCAGAACAUGUCACUCGUCAGAAGGCCUUAGCUGACUUUGGACAAUGCCUAGGGACACCACGCUCUGGUCAGCACCAAAACAAACUUCUUCGAAUUCGUCUAUUUAUAGGACCUUUGCAGUAUUGCCAGAUACGCCGGCACCACCUAGGGUCGCCAAAACAAACCAUGUUUACAAUAGAUCUUCACAGAAAAGGAUGCACAUUGGCUCGAGACGACAUUCGAAAGUCGGUCAGCGGGUAGCACGUGUGCACAGCAUGAUGCACUGUCAAGAUUUUUUACAAUUUGUAAUACAAUUUUUUAAAGGAUAUUUGAUUGACGGGGUGCAAUAGCAUCGGCCAGCAUCACCAUGGCAAUGACGGCAUGAAAGAGGCUUGGCAUCUCCAGCACAUAUCGUUUAAGAUAUGUUUCAAAUCAGUUGCAAAAAAUUUUUUCUACCACUUACAUGUAUUUCUUUUUGUUUUGUAAAUAUGAUUGCAUCGGGAUACCAAAUCUUGGUAACUCAUGUUUUUUAAAUGUGGCAUUGCAGGCCCUCCGUGCCACCACUGGGGUUUUUAAUGCCACUCGUGCCCACACUCAAGUGUUUUGAAGAAUGUAAAAUCCAGUGUGUGAUAAACAUGUGUAAAGAAACCUUUCGUAAGAAGCCAGAAGAGCUUUACAACAAUCUUGGACUGGGAGAUGGAGGCCAUCAUAAACUUCUUGUAGGAUGAGUUGCCGCAGACAGAGAUGAAAACCAUGAUGAAUGUCCGUGAGCCAGAGGCUAUGAUUUGUUUAGUACAACAAUGCGAGGGACUUAACAAAAUUGAGGCGGAAAUAUUCUUGAGGCAGUGGAAAUAUUCUUGAGGCAU